GUGUGUGUAUGUACGUACAUGUAGAGAAAUAAUAAUUAUCUCUACAAAGAGGCAAAUAAAUAACAAAAAUUACUUUAUUGAAUCGCGAGUGCCGAGUAAUCUAAAUAAUUAAUAUCGUCUGAAAGUUGGGAUUCCAAGAUUUCUCAUUCAAGUAUCAAGAAAGAAUAUUUAGCACUAUCAGUGUUGAUGUCUGCUAGAAAAUAAAUCGCUGUUAUAGAAACAACACGGGCAACGCAGAAUAUCACCGGCACAGCGGUGAAUGUUCAAUGCGUUGUCGCCUCGCUGAUAACGAACGGAGUAACAAGACGUGUUAUCGGCCGAAAAAUGCAUACACUUCUACACUGGUUUCAUACGUGACAUUAUUCGUACAGCAUAUUCGUUCAUUCAUUCAAUGUCGGUCUGCUCAAUGGAAUGAUCUAGUAGAUCCUCACGCACGCGGAUGUUCCUCGUGGAUCAUGCGAGUAACAGUUGUCGCGAGCAUGAUGUUUAUUGUGUUAUAACGUCAUCGAAUAAGAGACAAGCGAUUUUCAAAGUGAUGAUUGUGAAAGUCGUUAAAAUUUGUAAAAUGCCUUUUAUAAUACUUUUAUUAUAUUUAUUGUAUUAUUUUAUUUUAAUAUAUAAAUUUCUAAAAGAAUUUUGCCGUAAGAAGCUGUUAUCAAUAUCGUCUAACAUUUGUUUUUGAAGAAAUUAAGCCUUUAUUAUAAAAAGAUAAUAAACAUGUGAAUCUUCGAAAUAUUCGCCAUUUUUAAUGCUUUUCUCCAUCUAUCGGGCAACUGAUAAAUCCCAUCUUGAACAAAGAAAGUAAAUAAAGAUUCAAUUUCUUCAAAAAUUAAUUUGCACACCUAAUAUAUAACAUAUUUGUUCAUAUAUGCUACUCGAUACUUCAUACAUUACUAUUCGAUAUUACCUAAUAGGUAUAAUAAUAUCGCUAAUGUUUAUGAUAAAAAAAACUGGCUGUCAAUGCCAAAGAUACCCGAUACCGAGGGCAAAGUAUCCCCGCAGCGAGCUAUCCGAUUAGCAACGACGGUGCGAUUAUCGAUUUUGCAACGUCGUGUAGCUGAAGGCAGACGGUCUGCACCAGCAUCAUCGUCAUCAUCAGCAGUAGCAGCAGCAGCGUAGGAAAAAGUGGCGACGGAAGAGGGACGGCAGCGCGAGGGUCCUUUUAUAGUACGUAAGGGGCAAUACUUUUUUUUCUUUUUCCCUCUCCUGGUCGACGCGGAACGCACGCGGUGGCCAUCAUUGCGGCGCGAUUCCGCCGAGGCAUUUAAAUCGAUCCGCCGCCGGAUACGUCGCGAUUCGCCGAGCGUGAACCGCUCUCUCGCUCGGUAUCUUGCGAUGCUGAUCGCACGACGACACAUCCUGGUGCGACUAGAGAUGGUGCCAUGAGAAAAAGCUUUGAAAAAGGCCCGGAUAUAGUAACGUUCGGUCGCGAUGAAAGGCGAGGAAUCGUUCUUCAAAUUUAAUAUUAAACUACUUUUUGAAACUUGACUGUGAAACUUCCUUCAAUCCGACAUUAUUGCAUUAUUAUCGGGAGUAGCCUCAUAAUAUCUGAAGAGUGUACAAUGUUUUUGACCGAGAAGUGAUAUAAUUUUCUACGUAUAUAAAUUAUCAUGGUCAAGUUCCUGAUGGCCUUUGUAUUUAUAUUUUGUUAAAAAAAAAACAUCUAGAUACUUGUAUUUGCCAGAGUGCACAUAGAGUCGAUACUGCACGCGAGAUGAGGAUUGCUAAAAAAUAUUCCAUCGAGUGGUACCGAGUGGUACCGACGAUUAUGAGACACACACAGUGACAAGAGUAAUCUCUUUGAGACUUUAAGUAUUAAUUGAAUACUUUUUUUCAGGAAGAUGUCUACCGAUAAAUUUUGAUAUCUGUGUCGAUGGCCAUUCUUAGCAGAUGGUCGUGACGACGAAUCGCCGAAAACGGCGCGGCCUAUCGCUGAUAGCACCGUGUUGAGUAAUCAAACGUUUGCGGGGGGAAAAGUGCGUGUUCGCCAGGAUUCUGACUCAUCGUCAGUGACGUAUCAAUCUCUUACACGACACUGCGCGACGAUUAGUCAUGCACGUACAUGUGUGUUGUUCCUUGUUUAAUGUGGCGCGGAGAAAAAAAACGUCAUCGAUAUGAAUAAGAUGAAUGUGUGCGAAUAAUAUUGCUGCCAAUAUGCAACCGGA